UACGAAGGGGGCUAGCGUUGUUCGGAUUUACUGGGCGUAAAGCGCACGUAGGCGGAUCGUUAAGUCGGGGGUGAAAUCCUGGAGCUCAACUCCAGAACUGCCUCGAUACUGGGAACUUGAGUCCGGGAGAGGUGAGUGGAACUGCGAGUGUAGAGGUGAAAUUCGUAGAUAUUCGCAAGAACACCAGUGGCGAAGGCGGCUCACUGGCUCAUUACUGACGCUCAGGCGCGAUAGCGUGGGGAUCAAACAGG
rnacentral:rRNA from 1 species